GCCUCCGUGUUGUAGCGGUCAACACGUCUGACCGCCGGCUUGUCAGAAGACGUGGGUUCGAAUCCCAUCGGUGGCG